UUUUAAGAGAUUACCUACUUUUCUCGCUCUCACGCCUAGAGAAGCUGCCCUAACCUGAUGCCUUAUCUGAGGAAUAUAUGUGUGGAGAAGUGACUGUGUGCCAGAGACCCCUGUGCACAUUCAUAAGUGGGAAGGUAAAACUCCUAAUACUUGACACCACACAAAAAUACAAAGAUGUUUCUCCAAUGGCAAAGUACUUGUGGUCUCCCUUCGUCUGUUGCUAGGAGACCUGUUUAAGAAUUAAUCAGGGAAACAUCACAAAUGCUGCUAAAUCAUGCACCACACUACAGAUUGAGCUGCUCCAAAGAGAUGAGAAAACUUGCUUUUUCUGUUAACCCGGCACAGACUGGUAUGCAGCACAAUUUCCUUCAGCAAACAGAUGUCUUGAACACCUUGGAGUAUGCCCACUCUCACUCCUGGUCCUUCUUCUUUCCAAACAGUAAUUGUUCCAGCAUCCAAAGAGAUAAAAAGGCAUUAAAGACUACCUUUCCGUGCACAAUGACAUAUGUCUUGAGACCGCUGAUGGCAAGGCAGGACUGGAAGGGAACACCUGCUUCCUACAGGCCAGGCCCCCACUUCUACAAGUGCAUCGUGUCUUCCACGCGGUGACGAACUUCUUAAAGAAAGUUAUGCUUGCCGAAAAUAAACUCUUUUUGCCAUGUAAGUCCA
rnacentral:lncRNA from 1 species